ACAAAAAAAACCUUAAACAUAUAAAUGUUGUUGUAAGAUAUAUUUUAUCUUAUAGAGAAAAAUAUUAAACAGAAAUUACACCUUCAAAAAAAAAGGUCUAUAAUCUCUGACAAAAAAAACACACACACAAUAUUUAUUUUAAUAAUACCUUCUCUAUAGAAUACACACUUAAAGAAAAAGAGAGAGAGAGUUAGAUACAAAGAGUCUGUAAUUACUUUCAGAGAGCCUUUCCACAUCAAAAAAAAACAAACAAAAAAAAAAGGAAUCCAAUAUUUAGCUAAAGAGCAUAAAACACCAACAAAUAGCAAUUAUAAACAGCAUCCUUUAUUGCUGUUGUAAAACAACAACAACAACAUAACUUAGCAGAAAGCAAAGAGAUACAAAAAAUACCCAAAACAAAGUGAAGUUGGCUGGAGUUUGUAUGAUGAUAAGUGUUGGUAAACGUUAAGAAAUUUAAUUAAAUAAUAAAGGUUUCAUGUAACUUUUAUUAAGGAUUUCAAGAAAACAUAAAUAAAAAGGAAUAUUUCAAAACUUAUUAAGGAUUAUUUAAACAAAAAAAGCACUAAAAAGGUCUUCGUACACUUAACAAGAAGAAAUUUUCUUAAAAAAGGAAAGCAGAUCUUUCCCUGGGUUAAUAACGUGUGUGUAUAAAGCUACCCUAAGGAUUGUUCC